AGCGAACGCUGGCGGCAGGCUUAACACAUGCAAGUCGAGCGGACCUUUCGGGGUCAGCGGCGGACGGGGGAGUAACGCGGGGGAACGUGCCUUCCGGUUCGGAAUAACCCUGGGAAACUAGGGCUAAUACCGGAUACGCCCUUAUUGGGAAAGGUUUACUGCCGGAAGAUCGGCCCGCGUCUGAUUCGCUCGUUAGUGGGGUAAUGGCCUACCAAGGCGACGAUCAGUAGCUGGUCUGAGAGGCUGAUCCGCCACACCGGGACGGAGACACGGCCCGGACUCCUACGCGAGGGGGCAAUGGGGAAUAUAGGAAAGUGGCGGCAAGGAUGAACCAGCCCUGCCGGGUGAGUGAUGAAGGCCUUGGGGUUGUAAAGCUCUUUUAUCCGGGACGGUAAUGACGGUACCGGAGGAAUAAGCCCCGGCUAACUUCGUG
rnacentral:rRNA from 1 species